GUCUGGCCCCAAGAACUGUACAGCAGCAGCAGCAGUUCAGCUGGCAGAGGUGCUGUUGCUGAGCUGGGAGUGGAAAGCACAUUUUCUCUUCAUGAUAGAUGGUGUACCUGCACGUGGGAAGCUCCUGGCCCAGAAGGAGCCUCACCAUGGCUUCAUGAUGGCCUCACCAUGGAACCCAAGAACACAGCUGCCACAGGACUGCUCCUACCCUCCCAAGAGCCACUCUUAAACAGCUGCCAAAUGGCAGCCAGCAACCUGGGGUGAAGAGGUGGGCAGUAAAUGGAUGUGGUCCUAGUGAAGUCUUCUAACAAGAUUUCUGACAGUCUUACUCUGUCACCCAGGCUGGAGUGCAGUGCCACAAUCUCGGCUCAUUGCAACCUCUGCCUCCCAGG
rnacentral:lncRNA from 1 species